rnacentral:lncRNA from 1 species
CAAAACAAAACAAAACAAAACAAAACAAAACAAAACAAAACAAGUCAAGAGAUAUCCCACAGAGCAGGAGAGAAUCUUUGCUAGCUAGACAUCUAUCAGAAUAUCUAGACUAUAUUAAGAACUCAAAAAAGAAAAAAAAACUGAGCUGGUCAUGGUGGCGCACGCCUUUAAUCCCAGUACUUGCAAGGCAGAGGCAGGCAGAUUUCUGAGAUCAAGGCCAGCCUGGCCUACAGAGUGAGUUCUAGAAACCCUAUCUUGGAAAAACCAAAACCAAAACCAAAGACAAAAAAAUAAUAAUAAUAAAAAUAAAAAAUAAAAAAUAAAAAAGGAGAAAACAAAACCCCUCCAAACAAUCAAUUAAUGAGCUAAUAAGACAUAUCGAGUUCUUAAAAGAUGAGGGACAGUGAGCUAAUAGAUAUAUAGAAAGAACGCUAGCAUCCUGAGCCAUUAGGAAAAAGCAAGUUAAUAUUGUGUUGAGGUCCCGCCUCACUCUGUCAGAAUGGCUGUCUGUCAUCAAGAGAACAAACAGCAAAUGCUGGUGGGGAUUCAGUGUGGGGGAAGAUCUUAUACAGAUGGCGAGAAUGUAAACUGGACCAGUCACUAGGGACAUCAUCUUUGAAGGUCCCUCAAGACACUAAAAGUAGAUCUAUCAUACAACCCAGCUCUACUCCUCCUAGACAGCCACCCAAAGGACCCUAAAUAAAGUAGCAUUGGGUGUCUUAGUUACUGUUCUAGGGCUGUGAAGAGACACCAGGACCACGGCAAAUGUUAUAAAGGAAAACAUUUAAUUGGGGCCUGGCUUACAGGUUCAGAGGAAAGUCUAUUAUCAUCGUGGUGGAAACAUGGUGGCAGGCAAUCAUGGAUCUAAGAUCCACAGGCAGGGGUGAAGCGGUGCCAUCAUGGGCUUUUGAACCCAAAGCCCAUGCCCAGUUACACAUUUCUUCCACCAAGUGCAGACCUCCUAACAGUUCAUUAAGUGGGGACGAAGAAGGCAAAGCUUUGGGCCUGAGAAUAGAGGCCAUGCUCAUCCAAACCACUAUACAAAGAUAUUUGUGUUGGGGUUUAGGGUUAAGCACACAAACCACUCAGCCACCAGUCUCAGAAUUGAUGGUUUAUUGAACGCACCUUCCAAGAUUGAUUAAUCAGGGACACAGCCAGGAGUUAGGAUGGAAGCCACCACCCUGGCAAUUCUCAUGGUCAGUUUGUGGAAAAACCCACUAACAGGUGUAUUUGCAACAUUUAGGCUGUCUAGACAAAGCAGCGCGGUCUGAUCUUUAAGCUGAUUGGUUGGGUUUAGAGGCAGAGAGGCUAGGGAACGUCUACAGUUCAGGAGACCCCACAGGCCCACGACAAAGUACAACAGCAUGACUUUGGUCAGGGGAAGGGACACUUGGUCAGGUUAAGGUCGUGAGGGACAAGAUGA